rnacentral:rRNA from 1 species
GAUGAACGCUGGCGGCGUGCCUAAUACAUGCAAGUCGAGCGAACAGACGAGGAGCUUGCUCCUCUGACGUUAGCGGCGGACGGGUGAGUAACACGUGGAUAACCUACCUAUAAGACUGGGAUAACUUCGGGAAACCGGAGCUAAUACCGGAUAAUAUAUUGAACCGCAUGGUUCAAUAGUGAAAGACGGUUUUGCUGUCACUUAUAGAUGGAUCCGCGCCGCAUUAGCUAGUUGGUAAGGUAACGGCUUACCAAGGCAACGAUGCGUAGCCGACCUGAGAGGGUGAUCGGCCACACUGGAACGGAGACGCGGUCCAGACUCCUACGGGAGGCAGCAGUAGGGAAUCUUCCGCAGUGGGCGAAAGCUUGACGGAGCAACGCCGCGUGAGUGAUGAAGGUCUUCGGAUCGUAAAACUCUGUUAUUAGGGAAGAACAAAUGUGUAAGUAACUAUGCACGUCUUGACGGUACCUAAUCAGAAAGCCACGGCUAACUACGUG